rnacentral:rRNA from 1 species
UAGGGAAUAUUGGGCAAUGGAUGCAAGUCUGACCCAGCCAUGCCGCGUGCCGGAAGAAGGCCCUCAGGGUUGUAAACGGCUUUUAUUCGGGAUGAAGAGCAUGGAUGCGUCUGUGUGUGACGGUACCGAAUGAAUAAGCACCGGCUAACUCCGUGCCAGCAGCCGCGGUAAUACGGAGGGUGCGAGCGUUGUCCGGAUUUAUUGGGUUUAAAGGGUGCGUAGGCGGUUUUUUAAGUUAGUCGUUAAAUCUCUGAGCCCAACUCAGACAUGGCGAUUAAUACUGGAGAACUAGAGAUUAGUUGCAGAGGGCGGAAUGUGUAGUGUAGCGGUGAAAUGCUUAGAUAUUACACAGAACACCGAUUGCGAAGGCAGCUCUCUAAGCUACAUCUGACGCUGAGGCACGAAAGCGUGGGGAUCAAACA